UCCCGUGUCACGAGUCGACAAAUUUUUCUCAUGAGUUAGCUCAAUUUUAUUUCGAGUUAGCUCAAUUUUAUUUCGAGUUGGCUCGAUCUCAGACCUGCAGAAAUUACUUUCUGUCCUACGAAUGGAAUCGACUUAUCUCAGAAAGGAGUUGACUCGUCUGCAUGCCAGAACUACUCCAACAUGCUGGGGUCGACUCCAAUCUUUUUUGGAUUGACUUCAAUCUUUCUGAAACUUGAAAUACUUCAUUUUAAUGCCUGUUUCAGUGAAGGGGUUGGUUCCUUUUGCUCUAGGGUCGACUCCACUAAGUUUGAACUUGAAUUUUCCUUCUUUGAAGACCUUGACUUAGUGAAUUUUGUGGAGAUCUUUUCCAAAGAUUUUUUCUUCAAUUUUAACAUCUGAAAAGACCUAUAUAUAUUUUUGAAAUAUAUGAUUAGUAUCAUUUAUACUCAAUGUAUUAGAAUCAUUAAAAUCAACCUUAGGA
rnacentral:lncRNA from 1 species